rnacentral:rRNA from 1 species
AUGGCCCACGCCCGCAUCCUCCUCCUGGCGCUCGCCGCCCUGGCCACGGCCACCGUCGCCGUCGCCUCCUCCUCCUCCUCCUCCUCCUUCGCCGUCUCCAACCCGAUCCGGCCCGUCACCGAGCGCGCCGCUUCGACGCUCGAGUCCACCGUCCUCGCCGCGCUCGGCCGCACCCGCCACGCCCUCCGCUUCGCGCGCUUCGCCGUCAGGUACGGCAAGAGCUACGAGAGCGCGGCGGAGGUGCGGAGGCGGUUCCGGAUCUUCUCCGAGAGCCUCGAGGAGGUGCGCUCCACCAACCGGAAGGGCCUAUCCUACCGCCUCGGCAUCAACCGCUUCUCGGACAUGAGCUGGGAGGAGUUCCAGGCGACCCGGCUCGGCGCGGCGCAGACCUGCUCGGCCACGCUCGCCGGCAACCACCUGAUGCGCGACGCCGCCGCGCUCCCGGAGACCAAAGACUGGAGGGAGGAUGGGAUCGUUAGCCCCGUAAAAGACCAGUCCCAUUGCGGCUCCUGCUGGACGUUCAGCACUACUGGUGCACUUGAGGCAGCAUAUACUCAGGCCACUGGAAAGAACAUCUCUCUUUCUGAGCAACAGCUGGUUGACUGUGCCGGCGGAUUCAAUAAUUUCGGAUGCAGCGGAGGCCUUCCAUCCCAGGCAUUUGAGUACAUCAAAUACAAUGGAGGGAUCGAUACCGAGGAGUCCUACCCUUACAAGGGUGUCAAUGGCGUCUGCCAUUACAAGGCUGAAAAUGCCGUAGUUCAGGUUUUGGACUCUGUUAACAUCACACUGAAUGCUGAGGACGAACUGAAAAACGCCGUCGGGUUGGUUCGCCCAGUGAGUGUUGCCUUUGAGGUGAUCAACGGUUUCAGGCAGUACAAGAGCGGAGUUUACAGUAGCGACCAUUGCGGUACUACACCUGAUGACGUGAACCACGCCGUCUUGGCGGUCGGGUACGGCGUGGAGAACGGCGUCCCGUAUUGGCUCAUCAAGAACUCGUGGGGCGCCGACUGGGGUGACAAUGGUUACUUCAAGAUGGAAAUGGGCAAGAACAUGUGUGCUGUUGCUACCUGUGCGUCCUACCCCAUCGUAGCGGCAUGA